UCGAGCGCCGUAGCAAUACGGAGCGGCAGACGGGAGAGUAACACGUGGGAACGUACCCUUCAGUUCGGAACAACCCCAGGGAAACUUGGGCUAAUACCGGAUACGUCCGUAAGGAGAAAGAUUUAUCGCUGAAGGAUCGGCCCGCGUCUGAUUAGCUAGUUGGUGAGGUAACGGCUCACCAAGGCGACGAUCAGUAGCUGGUCUGAGAGGAUGAUCAGCCUCACUGGGACUGAGACACGGCCCAGACUCCUACGGGAGGCAGCAGUGGGGAAUAUUGGACAAUGGGGGCAACCCUGAUCCAGCAAUGCCGCGUGAGUGAUGAAGGCCUUCGGGUCGUAAAGCUCUUUUACCCGGGAUGAUAAGACAGUACCGGGCGAACAAC
rnacentral:rRNA from 1 species